CCUACGGGGGGCAGCAGUGAGGAAUAUUGGUCAAUGGGCGGAAGCCUGAACCAGCCAAGUAGCGUGCAGGAUGACGGCCCUACGGGUUGUAAACUGCUUUUAUACGGGAAUAACGCGCCGUACGUGUAGGGCGUUGCAUGUACCGUAUGAAUAAGGACCGGCUAAUUCCGUGCCAGCAGCCGCGGUAAUACGGAAGGUCCGGGCGUUAUCCGGAUUUAGUGGGUUUAAAGGGAGCGUAGGCCGCAUGUCAAGCGUGCUGGGAAAUGUCCGGGCUCCACCCGGGCCUUGCAGCGCGAACUGGCGUGCUUGAGUCCGCGGCACGCCGGCGGACUUCGUCUUGUAGCGG
rnacentral:rRNA from 1 species